rnacentral:rRNA from 1 species
CCUACGGGAGGCUGCAGUGAGGAAUAUUGGUCAAUGGACGAGAGUCUGAACCAGCCAAGUAGCGUGAAGGAUGACUGCCCUAUGGGUUGUAAACUUCUUUUAUAUGGGAAUAAAAUGUUCCACGUGUGGGAUUUUGUAUGUACCAUAUGAAUAAGGAUCGGCUAACUCCGUGCCAGCAGCCGCGGUAAUACGGAGGAUCCGAGCGUUAUCCGGAUUUAUUGGGUUUAAAGGGAGCGUAGGUGGAUUGUUAAGUCAGUUGUGAAAGUUUGCGGCUCAACCGUAAAAUUGCAGUUGAAACUGGCAGUCUUGAGUACAGUAGAGGUGGGCGGAAUUCGUGGUGUAGCGGUGAAAUGCUUAGAUAUCACGAAGAACUCCGAUUGCGAAGGCAGUUCACUGGACUGCAACUGACACUGAGGCUCGAAAGUGUGGGUAUCAAACAGGAUUAGAGACCCGAGUAGUC